GAUCCAGACGUGACCAACCAUCGACUUCUAGUUCCCUUCUUUCCUUUUCAUUUAUUGUUUAUAUCUUCACAUAUCUAAAGAGUUUCUUCAGUCUCUAUGAAAAUUUACUGAAGAAAUACUUUGGAUAAUUGAAGAUAUAAACAAUGAAUGACAAGAAAUGGAAAGGAACCAGAAGACAAAUGGUUGGUCACGUCUGGAUCUUUUUC